AGUGAACGCUGGCGGUAGGCCUAACACAUGCAAGUCGAACGGCAGCACAGUAAGAGCUUGCUCUUACGGGUGGCGAGUGGCGGACGGGUGAGGAAUACAUCGGAAUCUACUUUUUCGUGGGGGAUAACGUAGGGAAACUUACGCUAAUACCGCAUACGACCUACGGGUUAAAGCAGGGGAUCUUCGGACCUUGCGCGAUUGAAUGAGCCGAUGUCGGAUUAGUUAGUUGGCGGGGUAAAGGCCCACCAAGGCGACGAUCCGUAGCUGGUCUGAGAGGAUGAUCAGCCACACUGGAACUGAGACACGGUCCAGACUCCUACGGGAGGCAGCAGUGGGGAAUAUUGGACAAUGGGCGCAAGCCUGAUCCAGCCAUACCGCGUGGGUGAAGAAGGCCUUCGGGUUGUAAAGCCCCUUUGUUGGGAAAGAAAAGCAGCAGGUUAAUACCCCGCUGUUCUGACGGUACCCAAAGAAUAAGCACCGGCUAACUUCGUG
rnacentral:rRNA from 1 species